AUGUCAAGAUUGAGGCAUUUUUCGAAGUAAUCCUUAAAUCUUUCCCAUGUUUCAGGAUAGCUCUCGAGAUCAUUUUGCUUUAAUGUAUAUGCUUCAUUUCUGAUCU
rnacentral:snoRNA from 1 species